rnacentral:lncRNA from 1 species
GUGCCUCCUCCCUCAGGCUGAUGUCGCAGUGGCACCAUCUUCAAGCUAGUGCACAGGGACUUCCAGUGCUUCCUCCACCCAGCCCCACUUCCCACCCAGCCUCCUAUCUGCUAGUUCUCCUCUCCAGUGUCACAGACAACAGGUAAGCUGGACUGUCAACUUGCUUGGCUUGGGAUCCAACCAGAAAAGGACCAGCUUGAUGUGGUACAAGCAGGUAAUAACUAAUAAAUUGGCAUAAAAACAAAUUGAGAGGCCUCUGUCCUAGGCCUUCAUGAUUUGUGGUGAGGUCCCUAGCUGGCUCAGGGACAGAUUAAUCUUUAAGCCAGUGGCCAGAGCCAAGGCCAGCAAACAGCCUGUGAAGUUCUGGUGCCUCAAAGCAAGGUAACAUGGCAACUGAGGACUUUGAUUCAUGCAAA